GACGAACGCUGGCGGCGUGCCUAAUACAUGCAAGUAGAACGCAGUUGCGAACGGGUGAGUAACGCGUAGGUAUCUGCCUGGUAACGGGGGAUAACUAUUGGAAACGAUAGCUAAUACCGCAUACUACCAGAUGGACCUGCGUUGUAUUAACUUGUUGGUGAGGUAACGGCUCACCCAGGCAACGGUACAUAGCCGACCCGGAAGGGGGAUCCGCCACACUGGGACGGAGACACGGCCCAGACUCCUACGGGAGGCGGCAGUAGGGAAUCUUCGGCAAUGGGGGGAACCCUGACCAAGCAACGCCGCGUGAGUGAAGAAGGUUUUCGGAGCGUAAAGCUCUGUUGUUAAGGAAGCGGUACUUAACCAGAAAGGGACGGCUAACUACGUGCCAGCAGCCGCGGUAAUUC
rnacentral:rRNA from 1 species